rnacentral:rRNA from 1 species
CCUACGGGAGGCAGCAGUGGGGGAUAUUGCACAAUGGGGGGAACCCUGAUGCAGCGACGCCGCGUGGGUGAAGAAGCGCCUCGGCGCGUAAAGCCCUGUCAGCAGGGAAGAAACUGACGGUACCUGAAGAAGAAGCCCCGGCUAACUACGUGCCAGCAGCCGCGGUAAUACGUCGGGGGCAAGCGUUAUCCGGAUUUACUGGGUGUAAGGGGGGCGCAGACGGCGAUGCAAGCCAGGAGUGAAAGCCCGGGGCCCAACCCCGGGACUGCUAUUGGAACUGCGUGGCUGGAGUGCAGGAGGGGCAGGCGGAAUGCGUGGUGUAGCGGUGAAAUGCGUAGAUAUCAGGAGGAACACCGGUGGCGAAGGCGGCCUGCUGGACUGCAACUGACGUUGAGGCCCGAAAGCGUGGGGAGCAAACAGGAUUAGAUACCCCGGUAGUC